GCCCAGUGACUCUUUAAACGGCCGCGGUACCCUAACCGUGCAAAGGUAGCAUAAUCACUUGUCCCCUAAAUAGGGACUAGAAUGAACGGUCAAAUGAGGACUAAACUGUCUCUUACAUUCGACCAAUAAAACUGAUCUCUUAGUCCAAAAGCUGAGAUAAAAUCAUAAGACGAGAAGACCCUGUGGAGCUUCUAAACCAGACUCAUAUCCAUGUCCAUCUGGUUUUUAGUUGGGGCGACUUCGGAGUACAAAAAAACCUCCGAUACAGAGUAAUUCUCCACACCUAGAUUAACACACCAAAAAACCAAACCUGACCCAGUAGUAAUUCAACUAUCUGAUUAAUGAACCAAGUUACCCCAGGGAUAACAGCGCCAUCCUCUUCUAGAGUCCCUAUCGACAAGAGGGUUUACGACCUCGAUGUUGGAUCAGGACACCCAAAUAGUGCAGCCGCUAUUAAUGGUUCGUUUGUUCAACGAUAAAAGUCCUACGUGAUCUGAGUUC
rnacentral:rRNA from 1 species